rnacentral:rRNA from 1 species
CGCGUAGGCGGUUUGGUUAGUUAGGCGUGAAAUUCCUGGGCUCAACCUGGGGGCUGCGCUUAAUACAGCCAGACUAGAGUGUGAAAGAGGGUCGUGGAAUUCCCAGUGUAGAGGUGAAAUUCGUAGAUAUUGGGAAGAACACCGGUGGCGAAGGCGGCGACCUGGUUCAUUACUGACGCUGAGGCGCGAAAGCGUGGGGGAGAAAC